AGGCGCGUAGCUCAGUGGUAGAGCAUCACCUCGACAAGGUGGGGGUCGUUGGUUCGAAACCGAUCGCGCCUACCA
rnacentral:tRNA from 1 species